GACAGAGGGUGCAAACGUUGCUCGGAAUCACUGGGCGUAAAGGGCGUGUAGGCGGGAAGGAAAGUCGGGCGUGAAAUCCCUGGGCUCAACCCCAGGAACUGCACUCGAAACUUCUUUUCUUGAGUGCCGGAGAGGAAAGCGGAAUUCCUGGUGUAGAGGUGAAAUUCGUAGAUAUCAGGAGGAACACCAGUGGCGAAGGCGGCUUUCUGGACGGUAACUGACGCUGAGAACGCGAAAGCGUGGGGAGCAAACAGG
rnacentral:rRNA from 1 species